UUGUGUCGCCCGGUUAUUUUCCUUCCCUUUCACUUCUCUCUCUUUCGUCUCCCUCUAGCGAGUUCAGCGCGGCGGCGGAGAGCUCCUGUGGCACGUCGGCGCUGGGUUGCGCGGGCUGCAGCAUGGAUCCUCCAUCUGUUCUCCCUCGGCUGGUGAUUUGGAGCUAUAGCCUGGCUCCAGCUCCUUGCCGGCAACCUGCUCAAUGCCCCUUUAGUUCUGUUCUAGGCUGGGUGCUGAGUGUCGUGUCCUCUCCAGCUUUUGGCGCACGAGACAAGCAGAGCUGGGCGCUAGUGCAGGGGGUGCCUAGGCAGCGCGCGUACACCAAGGCAACAAGCAGCAGGCAUCUAGCGCCAGGUGCAGGAGCAGGCAAGAUUUGGUUUUCCCUGUGUUGUCGUUCCUUCCCUUCCCUCUCUGUUCUUGCAGAGCACAAAGGAUCUACCGAAACAGCAAGCAGAGCAAGGCAGCCAGCGACACAGCAGGCACGCAGCAGCACCGUGGCGAUUUGCAGGAUUUGUGGAGCACACAGCCCAGCAGGAGCAGCGAGCGACUAACAGCACCACCUCCACCGUGUAGACAAGGUGUUCGACGGUUUGCCCCAGCAGGUCGAGAAACAAGGUAACAAGCCAGCAGCUGGCAGGUGGCCAACAGGCCUUGCACGGGGACCAAAGAGAGAGCGGGCACGAUCAGCCUGGAGAAGCUGUGCAGAUCAGGAGCUGUGCAGCCAGGAGAAGGCUCGGUUUGCAUUUUUCUCUUUGCUCACAUGAUUAGACUUGUCAAUUAGCUUGUGUUAAUUAAUCUUUGCUUUUGCUAAUGCUUGUUAGCCUUUGCAUGCUUUUUAGUAGUAAGCUAAUUAACUGAGGUUGCUAGCUCUAUUCCUUUUGGAAAAGCUCCAUCGGCACUUUAGUAAAUCUCUUCCUUUUGGAAAAGCUCGAUCGGCACUUUAGUAAAUCUCAACUUCCCCUUUGUGCCAAGCUUUCGGUGUUUUGGUCAACCUCGGCUUCUGCUUUGUAUUGUGCCUUUCUUGAGUGAAUCGCUAUCUGCUUACAUGCGCUUUGCGUCGAGAUUUUCCUAACCGUUCCUAGGGUGAACUCGUCAUGUGUUGGCGUGUGUCGCUUUGGCGGUUAGAAGAGAGGUGUGUCGGGUUGAAAUCGGGACAUAGGCCUCGUUUUCUCGGAGAAUUUUUAUUGGCUCUCAUUCACCCCCCCUCCCCCCUUUUGGUCGCCUGUCCGGUCCUUCAGCUUUUCAGGCAGCCCCCUGUUGCAACCAGCCAGCUAGAAAGUCUGAAAAUGAAAUAUAAUCCUAGGAACACUACACCAUAUCCGUAAUGUAAAAUCACUAUCCCUAUUUAAGUAGAAGUUAAUGUGAGGUUGAACUUUAUAAGCUAUUACGUGAGGCAAUUUCCAAUGAAAUAUAACCAUUUUGACUUUUGUUAGCACGUCUAUGCAAAAUGUACUGUUAGAGGUUUGAAGUAGGACUGGUUUCUAAAUCGUAUGAUCCCUUUUAUGUUGUACAUUGCAUAUGGUGCCUCUAUGUAGUGCUUCUACUUUGUCUUAUCUUUCUUAUCUAAAAUUGGGUGUCCAUAUAUUUAGCUAAAAUUGACACUGCCUAAAAUUUAAUUCAUAAUCUUAAUCAUAAUGAAUUCUAUCUCUUACCAUCUGAGUUUUACUGUCAUUUGUGCAUAAGAGAACUAUGAGAUCCUUGAUCUGUAUUUUUCACAGUAUUUAUAGUGUUAUUUUUUCAUUUGUAAUUUCAAAGAUAAUGUAUGUGGCCCAUUUGCCUGUGCUUCUACUUUCACUAUUAUUUUUGUGUUGGUGCUGGAAGGGUGUUCGUUUAUCCUGCUGGUUCUUAUUAUAGUUAUUAUAUGUGCCCUUACUUAUUGUAUUGUGUGUUCCUUUGUUCCUUUUUCACCUAAGUGGAGAUACAAAAAUCACUCCACCUCCAAUGCAAGGGCCAGGUUACUUUCUUUUGCAAGCAAGGUAUUUUUCAAUUUUGUUUCUUGAUUAUAGUUUAAACAUGUUAUAGUUACACAUAAUUAUUUUGUUGUAACUUAUGUUCAUGCUCGUUGUAAAUUUUUAUAUUGAGGGGUAUAAUCAAUCCUCUUUUAUUCAGUAUUGGGUAGCAUAUGUUCAUAUAUGCAUCUAUGUGGACUUUAUGUUUGGUAUAUAACUCAUGCCUUUUCUUAGGAUGUGACGAUGUGUUGCUCUUUUUUUGGACAUUUAUCUGUUAUUUGUUGUGUGACGCUACUUUGUGGUAGUUGAACUUCUUUUUUAUUUCAAUUAGAGCUGCUUAAUACUAUACUUACAACAUAGAUUUUAGCCUAUCUUGUGUAUGGUCACUGUAAUUUAAAAAAACAUGUGUACAACUUAUAACAAUCCUUUUUAUUCAUUUUGCAGCAACCAUUUCUUGCUACUAUGCAUCUCUAUUGCCACUUCUAUGUGGUUUUUCUUUUAUACAAAUCUGAUUUCAUAUGUCUGUCUUCAUGUGUCACAUUGGGCUAACUCUGAAUAUUUUUUUUAAAAAACUCUGAGCAUGUUGUUAAUUGAUUUAGUUCUGAGUUUCUAGUUUCUCCAUUUGUUUGUUUGAUUAAGUUGAACUCUUGUUUUUGUAGCAACGAUAGCCUGCAAGUUAACUUUGUACUAACUACUAAAAAUGAGUGGCCAAUUGAUAAAGCUAUUUACAAGGAUAUGAAACUCAUGUUUAUCGGCUGGGAAUAUCUUUGAACCAGUAAUGUCAGUUUCAGUUAAUAAAGUUGGUAGACCUUUUUUACUUCUCUAGAUCUUGGUAUUUCUUAUAGUCUAAAACAGUAACUGAGCUGGCUCUCAAACAUUUGCACUGAACUUUAUGCAUUAGUUUUCCACCCUACUUUGAUUGAGUAGCUCUCUGAUAGUCAGUACUCGUGUCGUCAAGAAGUGGGUCUCAUGAGGUCACUUAAAAGGCUCAAUCUACAUGGAUCUCCUUCACAGGAGGUCUGUCUCUGAUUAUUUGGUAACUUGGUUCCGCUAGGCGCUAGGCGGAUUCUAGGCGGUGACCUGCAGCCUAGAGCCUAGUCGGGAUUAAUCGAGCCUAGGCGUUCCUAGGCGUUUUUCUAGGCGUUUUGCCAAUUUAGGCAAAACUGAUAUAUAUUAUGUAUAUAUAGCCAAAAAUAGCAAAAAAUGCUGAAUAUAUAGGUUGCAGUAAAUAACUAAAAUACUAAAUAUAAAAAAAUGACCACUGGACAUACCUGAUUCCUUCCAAUGGGCUUAGUCUUGCAUAUUCCUUCCUCCUACAACACAUUUGAAUAAUUUCAGCAAGCAGUUCAUAAGAAAAAAAGAAAGCAGUAAGAUGUCACUUCCUCUGUUUCAUUUUCAGGUGCAGCUGCAGCUUCUGUAGACAUCCUAUACAUUUAGGCAAUGCAAACAACCAAUGCAAACAGAUUCAUACAUGCAUAUUCAUAUUCAAACAAUCAGACAAUGAAAUCAGAUUCACUAAUCAUUCAUUCAGAUUCAGUUUAUCAGCAGAGUAGAGGAACAGAGGAGGGGACAGUGGAGCAGAGGAGGGGACAGUGGAGCAGGGGAGGGUAGCAGGUGGACGGGGAUGAGAGGGGAGCUCUGAGGGGAGCAGCCGCAAAUCGGCAGGGGAGGGGGAUGGGAGGGGAGCUCUGAGGGGAGCAGCCGCAAAUCGGCAGGGGAGGGGGAGAGGAGAGGAGAGGAGCAGGUAGGGGGGCGAGCAGCCGCCGGGAUAGGGGAGACGAGCAGGGAAGUGGAACUCACCUUGAGGACGAGCAGAGGUGUAACAUCCCAGUUUUCAUCACGAUUAAGGGGGAGUGUUGAAAUAUAUAAUGCAAACUCCUAGAAGGUUCUAUAAAAAUAAGAAUAAACCAUGGCAUAAUUUUAUUCACCAUGACAAGGUUCUAGAAUGUUCCACAAGAAUCAUAAGAAGACAUGAAGCUUGGAUAUUUUCUUGUCAUGGUAAAAUUUAGAAUUUUUUAGAAAUAGAUAUUUGUAGGGAACUUAGAUAUUUGUAGAGAACUUCCUACAGUGUGACAUGUGUCACUCAUUCAAGAGGGUAUGGGUGCCUAUAUAAGGAGGGUGACACCCCUUGCCCUGCCAUACUACUCCACUCCAUCCCACACAUCCAAGGGCAUGGUAGAAGUGAGCAUAGGUAGAGUGUGCUAGGUGUGUGUUCCUUUGUUGCUCCAAUAAGGUAAGCGUCUUUAUAAGUGUUAGUCUCCCGGUUAAGCUUAGCACUUAGUGUAUAAGUUGUGAUCCAUCGAAGGUUGGCUCUGUCACUCGGGAUCACAAAAGGGUCUGGGCUUCAUCGAAGGUUGGCUCUGCCACCCGGAAGCCAGCUUCAUCUGUUGGUAGGCUCUGCCUCCCGGAAGCAAAAGGCGGCUUUCCGUCAAAAGGACCCGGUACACUAAGUAACUAGAAGCUAACCGACUCUGAAGUGAGUUGGUGUAGAUCCUCAACUUAGUAGGGCCACCUCAAUUUCCAACAAUCACUAAAAUAAAACUUAUGUUGCAAUUAAACUAGUAACAUAAAAUAAUACUAACGUUAUACGAAGUAUUACAUAACUACUAGGUAAACUGUUUUAUACUCUUGCCUUGCGUUAGUACAUUCGUUCCCUCCAAUAACCAGCAUAUGCAUGCUUGCACCUACGACAAAAAUCAUCUCGUCUCUUUCCAUAAAAGCCUCUCGAGUCACCGUACCAUGCCAUAAUUCACAGACAAUCAUGACAGCGCCUAUCUCCUUUGCCAUAACUUCAUCAUUCCCUGGAAGCCACAGAAUACCCACACCAUUACACCAUUGACCUUGAAAUGACCCGUCAUGGCAGCACCCACCUCGCUAUAAAUCGGGGUCGCCACGCACAGUGCCGGCCGAGAUUUUUUCCGCCGAACCGCCUCACCCGCUCACUCUCGCUGCGCACGCGCGACACGCCGGCCCCACGACGAGACCGCGCACUGCCGCCGGCACCACGCCGUGCCGCCCACCUCCGCGUCCCCACCUCGCCCACGCCGCUGCAGCGUCCUCGCCGGCUUUGCCGCCUCGACGCUCGCGCCUUCAGCGCUGCCACUGUUCGCGUUGACGACGAGCUGCCGCAGCCCACGCCGUCGCCCGUCCCUGCGCGACACCGCUGCUGCUCUCCUCGCCUAUAAAAGGAGCGAGGCCGUGACGAGCCCCGUCACCAGCCCAAGCACACCAAGCCGCUUCGCUCCGCCAGCUGAACCACUCCUCCCGAGCCCAGCUCACUAACGAGACGAAGCUCCAACAAUUGGCUCUCUUCCUCGAGCUGUUCCGCGCCAAGGUGAGAUGGCAGGCAGCUCCCCCGACCAUUAACUCCACAACACUAAUAAUGGCCCAAAACACCCACCAGGCCGUGAGCACUUAAUCCAAAUCAUUCUACCAAUCAAUACUGUAAACUCAAUAUCUCCUUCAUAUCAACUCCUUUUCACGUAACUCUUUUUCCUUAACUCUCCUCAAAUCAUAUACUAUCUAUUCCUCCUAUUUUCAUCUCCAUUUGAGCUUAUUUUAUUGAUUGCUUGUGUUUGUUUACCGGUUGUGCCGUUUUCGCCCGUAGAUCACGGAGUGACCGAGGAGGAGCCUGAAGACCCGUACCACGAGCAGGAAGCCGCCGCCGCCGACGCGUACGCAAGCGAAGGCAAGUUUCAUCGACCCCUACGUGAGCGGUUGCAUCCAUGUGAGGACGUUUAGCUGUAGCCUGGGUCUAGGAUCGAUUACAUAUACCAGUACUUGAGUGAUUGAGUGUGCUCAUGCAUGCAUCUUAGUAGUCAUGCAUAUCCAGAGCUGAGAAUAGGAUACGAAGGGAUCUGGCUGAGACCAGGGCAGCUGGGUAUGCUGGAGCCGGCGCUACCGUGGUGGUAGACUGGCAGGUGAGUGCUACCGUGGUGGUAGGCUCGAAUUGACAUGUUGAGGGAUGGUUGCUGCCCUGUUGAACCAUAAGGACCGAGUUGUUUUGACAUCUCACCUAGCUUACUUUAGUACGACCACAGGUUCCGGUAUGGGCCGGACUUAGCCUAAUCCCACUGGUUAGCCUGACGGUCGCAGGGAUGGUUUACGGGUAUAGACCAUUGGGGUCAGGGCCCGAGGGUUUGUGCGGCCGGGCUGGGGCGUGACCACGGCUGGGUGUCGGCUAUGUCGGUUGUCCGUUCGGGCAGCCGAGCGUGUGGGUACAGUGUACGACCUCUGCAGAGUGUAUAAUCCAUUCGAAUGGUCCGUGCCCACGGUAUGGGCAGGCUACGGUGUGCCAUGUUUUCAAGUCGUCCGAUUAAUCGCGAUUAAUCGCGAUUAAUCGCCCAGGUCGGUUCUCCAAGUCCGACCAGCACCACCGACCCGACCAGAGCGACCAGAAACCUGGUCGUCCGAUUAGUCGUCCACUAAUCGCGAUUAGUCGGUCGACCAGGGCAUUUCUCGACCAGGGCAGCAUGAAGGUUUCUCACUUUCUCCUAACAACUUCAUUUUUUUGUUUCAGCAGCAGGGAUUCAGCAAGAAGAAUAUGGAGUUUUGGACAAGAAGCUGGAGUUCUGGAGAGCAAAUAUCAAAAGUAAGUCACCAAAACCUGCAGAAUUGCUUGCUGUAUACUAUAUUGUAUAUAUAUAUAAUUAUAUAUACACUAUAUAGUAUAUACUGAACAUGUAGACAUAUGGACGAUUAGGGAACGACCAGGCUCGACCAGGCUCGACCAGGUCGACCUGGUCGUCGACUAAUCGCGAUUAAUCGCCUGGUCGGUCCCUAGGCGACCAGGACCGACCAGCCGAUUUGAAAACAUUGACGGUGUGGUCCUGACAACUAAUGAGCUACCUAAUGUGGGUUUUGUCGGGAAGAGUUGCAUACCAUUAGUUGCAUUGCUAAUGCAUUGUGCUCAAAGUGCGUCGUUCAUGUCAUUUCCCCUCCCGUAGGGUGAGGUGGAGCUUGCUGAGUACUUUUGUACUCACCCCUGUUGAUUUUUCUCCAGAGGAUCCUGAUUGUGCCAGAAGACUACGAGUAGAUCGUGUCCGCACCCAAGCUGAUCGAGUGAAGCCGUGAUGGAUGAAGAGCUAGUCCUCCAUGCCGUCAUGCUAGUCGUUAUCCUAUGGUUGUUCUGUGUUGUCGCUUUAUCCCUCGUGUACAUGUUGAAUAAAGCUCUGUAUGUCUCUGGACUCCACUUGAUGUAACAUGUAUUAUGCCGGAGACCCUAUUCGGUAAUUAAUACAUGGUUUAGCCUUGAUCUUCGGGUCGGGGCGCUUCAAGAGGAAGCAGCCGGCGGUGGAAGGGAGAGGAGCAGCUAGCGCCAUCGGGGACGAGGUGCUUCCAGGCGGGGAGGAGGUUGCCCUGCGGGAGGAGCUCGACCAGCAAGACCUCGUCCGGCGGCGUGAUUCUUGGUGAUGGUGCCGAGGUCGUCCGACCGGCAAAUGGCAGGCCCGCUCGAUUUCCCCUUCCCCUAUUCUUUCCGCUCGAUUUCGCACCGCUUAACUCUGUUGCGCGCGUGCGCCGGGCCGCCCCAUCCGCUAUCGCACGGGAAAUCGAGCGCGCUCGCGCCGCGGGGCCAAAUUUUGGCGGCAAUCAGCAGCGUGUCCGCCUCAGCGCCACCUCUCCCGCCUCCGCGCCGCCUGCGCUCCGCCUAAUCGCCGCCUAGCGCCCAGAAUGGCGCCUACCCCCCUAGGCCAGGCGAUGGGCUUCGCCUAGCGCCCAGAAUGGCGCCUACCCCCCUAGGCCAGGCGAUGGGCUUCGCCUAGCGAUUAAGCGCGCUCAGGCGCCGUCUAGGCGCCGCCUAGCGGAACACGGUUUGGUAAUGACAGAUUUUAUUUUGUGAACUAUAAAUGUGUAAAAUCAGUGUGUUUUCCUACUUUUGGUUAAUUGUGAUUGAAAUUCAUCUGAUGAACUACAAAAAUUGAGUGCAAAUUGUACCUGAACUUUUUAUUGUUGCAAUAUAAUUGAUCAUUUUUUCCUAUAGAGGACUGAGACUCUCAAUGACUCCCAAGUCCUAGGCCAUAUGUCAUUGUGAUUGUAUAGCGGUAAAUCCUCAAGUGCACCCAUAUUUUAAGUACAAGCUUAGAGCCUCGUAAAUUUUUUUAAUGGAUGUGUGGAUUUCCCAAUUAUGUUUACAUGCCGAUACUGGUUUAAAUUGAUUUGGCGAAUCUAAUGUAUGGCACUGUAUAUGCAACCAUCACCUGUAAUUGUUUACCUUUUCCUUUUGCCCUUAUAUGAUUUGUACCUUGCUAAUUAAACUGCUAGCUAUGUUUUCUGAAAAUUUGGGGAAUUAUAUUGUCAGAAUAUCCUUUUGCUGGGUAUAAAUCGGCCUUCCUUGAGUACUUUUGAAGUAAUCAGAGUGCUUAACAUCAUUUCUAUACUCACAUGAUUCCAUUGAUGCUGAUCAUAUAUGACAUGAUUAAAUUGAGUAGGAUACAGAACCUAGUGGUUUUUAGUGAAGCACGUAAUAAACUGUAGCUUGGUUUAUGUUGGUGUUAUUAGAAAUGGAUGAAACCAUUUCUUUUUAAACAUGAAUCAAGAAUGGUCUUGUUGUAUCUUCUUUUCUUUUCUCUGAAACAACAGGUUAGAUAUGCCUUGGGGUUGGGGUGGGAGGGAGGGAGAUAGCAUUUCUACUUCCUUUAGCAUAGUGGCCAAUAUAAACUUGCAUUUUGUACUGGCACACAAGUCUAAGCUAUCUUUGGCUCCACUUUUUAGAACUGUAUCAUCAAUCAUUUCUCUACCACUCUUAACUUUUCUAUCCUGUGUGUGCAAUACCAUUUUUGAACAAUGCUACAACUAUGAAAGCUUGCUGAUGUAUGUAAUUUUUUUUUCCAAACUGGAACAUAAAGUUGUUUUCCCAAAGCAGCAUGUGUAUAUGAAUUUUGACUAGUGUAAAAAAUUCCAUUGAUUAUACACAGUAAACAUCACUUACAUGGUUCCCACUACAUUUUCAGCAUGCAUUACAGUGUUAAUUUAUUAGGAUAAACUGUAAUAUUCAGGCUUAUCAGUACUCCAUUAUUGUUGUUGCGGAUGUGCCCCAUUAUAGUGUUUUGGCCGUGUUAUUGGAUAUGUGUACAAUUUUUUUACUAUUGUUAGGUUUGUUAGCAUUGUUUCCUGUACAACUUGGUCUGAAUGUAUAUCUAUGUGCUUCGCAGUUAUCUUCAAUUAUUUUUAAACAUAGAUCCUUUUCAAAUAACCUCUCUCACACACGCUCCCCCCCCCCCCCAACUCUAUCUCUCUUGCACACUGCACACAAUUUAUAUAACUAUAUAAUUAUUACCUAGUGCUAAUAAGUUUCUUCAGCAGGAUCAGGGGCAUGGGCUCAUCGUGGAAGGAGCUGAGUUAGGCCGUGCAUCCAUUGUAGGUUUUGAUGCCAGUUGAGGAGAUAUAUUUGUAUAUGAACUGGAUAGCUUCUUUCCUCACUCUCAUCUCUCGUUUCUCUCUCCUAAACCUCUUGCACAAGAUGGCUCGACGCCCCGUGGACUCGCAUGAUGGUCCUCAUCGAUCUAGCGGCUACUGCUGAGUAACAGGCCAGAUCUGGUGGCCGUCGAAGAAGAAUAAGCCUGAUCUGGUGUGUACAGCUGGCGUCCGCGUUCCCGGCAAGCAGCAGUAUGAAGUUUCGUACAACUGGGUGAGCCAGGGGUCUAAUACAUUUUGUCUCCAAGUAAUAUAAAACCAGUAAGAAGGUGUUUGCAACUAAGCCUAAGAUAUGAAAGUGUUUUGUCUUCUCUGAGUGUCUAAUUUGGGGUUUUCUUGUAGGUUUUGUCUGUUCAUAAUUGUCCGAUUGAGUUUUAUUGUGGCUUCAUUUGUUGAUUUUCCUGUAGGUUUCUAUCUGAUUUAUUACAGCGUAAAUAUAGUGGUGUUUCAGUUAAAUUUUUUUGUGGCAAAAUUAAUUAUGGUCUAUUUGUGUGUAA